rnacentral:rRNA from 1 species
GUGCCUAACACAUGCAAGUCGAGCGAUCUUCUUCGGAAGGGAGCGGCGGACGGGUGAGUAACGCGUGGGUAACCUGCCCUGUACACACGGAUAACAUACCGAAAGGUAUGCUAAUACGGGAUAACAUAAGAAAGUCGCAUGGCUUUCUUAUCAAAGCUUUUGCGGUACAGGAUGGACCCGCGUCUGAUUAGCUAGUUGGUAAGGUAACGGCUUACCAAGGCGACGAUCAGUAGCCGACCUGAGAGGGUGAUCGGCCACAUUGGAACUGAGACACGGUCCAAACUCCUACGGGAGGCAGCAGUGGGGAAUAUUGCACAAUGGGCGAAAGCCUGAUGCAGCAACGCCGCGUGAGCGAUGAAGGCCUUCGGGUCGUAAAGCUCUGUCCUCAAGGAAGAUAAUGACGGUACUUGAGGAGGAAGCCCCGGCUAACUACGUGCCAGCAGCCGCGGUAAUACGUAGGGGGCUAGCGUUAUCCGGAAUUACUGGGCGUAAAGGGUGCGUAGGCGGUCUUUCAAGUCAGAAGUGAAAGGCUACGGCUCAACCGUAGUAAGCUUUUGAAACUGUAAGACUUGAGUGCAGGAGAGGAGAGUGGAAUUCCUAGUGUAGCGGUGAAAUGCGUAGAUAUUAGGAGGAACACCAGUUGCGAAGGCGGCUCUCUGGACUGUAACUGACGCUGAGGCACGAAAGCGUGGGGAGCAAACAGG